AUGUCGCACCCAACCCCCGACAUUUGGCGCCCACCAUGGUGUGGUACUACUACUAUGCUACUACGCUGCUGCUGGUUUCGCUGUCCGGGCGGGACCCUUUUUUCUUCAUCGCCUCCGCCGCGGCGUCGCGCCUUCUCUCCGGUAGCGCUCGGGGGCUCGACGUCGACCCGCCCCCGGAGCGACCGAAAGGGGUGGCGCGUCCUCGCCGUCGGCCUCUUCAUCACCACCAUUGCGAUGCCAGCUAUCCGUCCGCGCGCGCGCCGCGCACGGGGCCUCGUUUUGGUCGACCGUGGCCAUCCACGCGCCGCUUGCAUUUGCUUCCCCCCGCGUCGCGCCUUGCUCUGGCCGACACACGAGCGCUCGCUCCUCCAUACUCCAUCUUUGCAAGCUAACUAG
rnacentral:rRNA from 1 species